rnacentral:rRNA from 1 species
GACGAACGCUGGCGGCGUGCUUAACACAUGCAAGUCGAACGAUGACGACCGAGCUUGCUCGGUCUGAUUAGUGGCGAACGGGUGAGUAACACGUGAGCAACCUGCCCUUCACUCUGGGAUAACCUCGGGAAAUCGGGGCUAAUACCGGAUAUGAGCUCCUGUCGCAUGGCGGGUGUUGGAAAGUUUUUCGGUGAAGGAUGGGCUGGCGGCCUAUCAGUUUGUUGGUGAGGUAGUGGCUCACCAAGGCGAUGACGGGUAGCCGGCCUGAGGGGGCGACCGGCCACACUGGGACUGAGACACGGCCCAGACUCCUACGGGAGGCAGCAGUGGGGAAUAUUGCACAAUGGGCGAAAGCCUGAUGCAGCGACGCCGCGUGAGGGAUGACGGCCUUCGGGUUGUAAACCUCUUUCAGCAGGGAAGAAGCGAAAGUGACGGUACCUGCAGAAGAAGCGCCGGCUAACUACGUG